GGUUGUCAGAGAUCAGCUGUUCUGCUCUGAUCUCAGCUCUGAAGUCCAACAUCCAUCUGAGAGAGCUGGACCUGAGAGAGAACGAUCUGAAGGCUUCAGAUGAGAAGCUGCUGAGAGAUCUUCUGGAUAGUCCAGACUGCAGACUGGAGACCCUCAGGAUCGGAAGGGGUAAGACGAUCAGAGCCAAGAUCCAGAAGACCUGUGACAGGAAGUGAAGACACACAGAAAGUUUAUUCGUCACGGGGCGAGUUUGAGACGUCCAGAGGAGCGUGGAGGCAUUUUGGAGAAUAAAGAAGAAGACUGCAGCUGAUGAGAGACUUCCUGUUAGCUCUCCUCAAUAUGAAAUGAACAAAAACAAUCCAUUGUACUUAAAGCUUUUCUUGAAGAUGUGUUGCACAUACACCUGCUGCUACCUACCACCACCUCCCACCCAUCCCGGCACCCAAAGAGGAGACCCCAUCGACCCCAGAUACCCCAACUCACUCUUCUUCAGGUUAGCUUGGAGCCCCGCCUUUACCUGCCCCAACAUCUCACUUUGAACGAUGUAGUCAUCCGGAUAUCUGCAUACUGAGAGUGGGACGCAGGACCCGGUCAAUGAGCUGCUGGAAGGGGGUCCACUGGACUGGAGGGGCUCUUGGAUCUGGUGAUGCCUUGCUCUUUCUGAAAGGGGAGGACAAAGGAGGUGUAAAGCAGCUAAAG